GCAUGGUUCCAAAAAAAAAAAAAAGAAACUUAUAUAUAUUUCAUAGUGGUAUCUGCUCCCACUGAUGUUAGUAACCAAUAUGGGAUCUUUCUAUUUUAUUUAUUCAACUGUUAUUAGUUGGAUCACUGUAAUCCUUUCUCAUCAUUUCCCCCCAGACUCCCGCGCAAACAUUAUCUUUGACGUGACUAAUUCCUCAAAGUUCUGCUUUUUGAACACCCUGUUAGUUAGACUUGUCUUAAUUAAUCACUGGAGUUAUCUGCGAUGAGUGGAUUAAGUCUCCCUAUCUAGAUUUCCACUCUAACUCCAGGAUUUAGACUGCCCAGAUCCUUCACGGGAAAAAAAAACUAUGCCUAAAAAAAAACACUAUUGUCGUGGAGAGAAACCACACGUCUGAUUCACGAGCAUAAUUAAAGCUUGCCUCUAUAAAACAAGAUAAUUAUAAGAAAUCUGUAAAUCCAUAUAAUGAAUCAGCAUCGCUGUAAUAUUUUGCUCGUCUUCUCCAAGGGGAAGUAGGUUUUAUUUAAAAGGAAUGCUCAAAUUCACACCAUUAGAAUACCCAUGACCUUUGUUAUUAUACAUUCUCAUACAUAUACCAUGGCAAGGUAAUCCUUUUCCGUUAGUGUUGAAAGGUUCCAGUGGCACUUUUUCUUUUUUCAGCACAGACUUCGCAUUUUCGUUGGAUAUUUACAUUUGGCUUGUUUUCUUCUUUUAUUCUUGUAAUGAAGUGUCUCUCCAAAAGUCUGGCUUUUGAGCUUGAACUACCAAGUUUUUGAUCUGUGAUCUCAACUCCGGCUUCUUCAACCAGUUUUUCCAUAAUGACAAGAUGAUAGUCUCGGAGUGACAGUUUGGAUGUUGGAUUUAAUUUAUUAUAAAUUAUAUGAGAAUUGACUAUUGUCAGGCCAAAGAUGUGAAAGAAAGCUUUUUCCACCAUUUCAUACUUCUCCGCUGAAAAGAGUAGUAAGAGAGGAGCUGGUCACUUCUGUCAACACCAGCCUUGUGCUUGUUGUAGUCCAAUACUGCAGCUGGUUUCAUGGUGAGAGGUUGGUCAGAUUUCCUGGCUUUCUUGGUUACAGGUAUCAUGGCAUGAUCAUGUGCUGUGGAGACCAUGAAAACGUCCCUAGUAUCAUGCCAUUUGAAUGCCAAAAGAGGACAUUUCAUUCUGUAAAUUACCUCUCCUUUUUUCAAUUUUUUGGAAAAUGUAUUUUUUGGCAAGCCUCUUCUAUUUUUCUUUAUUGUUCCUACAGAUUGGGUAUUGUUUCUCCAGAGAAAUUGAAAAAGUGUGGUAGAGGAGAACCAUCUGUCAAAGUAUGAGGGCCAUCCAAUAAAUAAGUUCCCUAUUUUUUAACAAAUAAACCACAUUAUUUACAAUUAUGCAGUUAUUUUAUUUUCAUUAUACAACUCAUAGACUACUUCUCUAAAUAAUCACCAUUUCUGUCCAAACAUUUUUGGUACCGUUGUAGCAAUUUUUAGAUACCACUGUUGUACCAAGCCGUGUCCUGUCUUCGUAGCAAGUGGUUCGCCUCCGCCUGCACUUCGUCAUCAUUCGCAAAGUGCUUGCCUCCAAGGUGCCACUUGAGUCCUGGAUAAAGAUGGAAGUCGCUUGGGGCAAGUUCCGGAGAAUAAGGUGGAUGUGUGAAAAUUUCCCAUUUGAAGUUUUCCAUAGCCAUAACUUUGCCUGCAGAGAUUGUGACCUUCGCCUUUUUGGUGCACUUUCCUCAGGCUUCUUCCACACCAUGCUUUGUCGUUUUGUUUCUGGAGUUGAAUGAUGCACCCAGCUUUCAUCUCCAGUGACAAUACGGCAAAACAGUUGAUCUCUAUCUCUUUGAUGCAUUUCCAGGAAAGCUCGGGCUGCCUCCAUCCGUUGUUGCUUGUGAUUUUCCAAGAGAAAACGCGGGACCCAUCUUGCGCAGACUUUGAGAGAAUUCAAAACAUCUGACAUGAUUGUUCCAAUCGAAGAGCGUCUAAUUUCGAUUCCAGGAGGUAGUCGAAUCAUUAUUUCGUCAAUAGUGACGCGGCGAUCUACUUCCACCACAUUCCGAACAGCAGCAAACGGCUGCAUUGUCCGUAGCAGUAACGGGGCUGCCGCUUCGCUCGUCAUCAUGCACGUUUUGCCGUCCUUCUAAGAACCAUGAACGUCAUCGGCGAACCAUUUGGAUGCUCAUACAUUCUUCACCAUACACUGACACUGAAUUGCGAUGAAUAUUGACCGCAGUUUAAUUUUUCGCCGUGAAAAAACGAAUUACAGAACGGAGUUCGCAAGUGGACACGUUCACCAGUGGUAGCUCGAUGGAAACUGAAGCGCUACGGACUUGCGAGGUCGAGUAGCGUGAUUUUGAAGGUCACCAGCUUCCAACGCAUCCUAGUGACCAUUUAUUCUAUACUAACUAAUUUUUACAACGUUUCGUUCGCAGAAAAAAAAUAGGGAAACUUAUUUAUUGGAUGGCCCUCGUAUAUAACAUGUCCUCUAUUGAAGUAUGGAGCCGCUAUCCUUUCCACCAGUUUUAAGGUCGAAUUGUAGUCUGCACCUUGACCAGGCUGCUUCCCCGUGUACACUUCUAUGUUGCAGGCAUAUCCUGAACUUGAUUCACAAAGUUCAAAUAUCUUGAUCCCAUAUUUGUGUGGCUUUCCUUUGAUAUAUAUUCUGAACCGUAUUCUUCCUCUAAAAGGACAUAUAGCUUCGUCAAUAGUCAAAGGUUGGCAGGGAUAGUAAUAUGUUUUGAAUUUGUGGACCAGAGGAUCAAGGAAUGUCCUAAUUUUAUGGAGAGGAUCAUGGCCUGGUUGACCAAAAGCCACAUAGGAAGCGUUGUCAUUCAGGUGAAGCAUGGAGAGAAUGGCUUCAAACCGUGGUCUGAUCAUCUCCACAUCUCUGCAGUAAGUUGUCCUAAGUUCACUGCGGGUUGACCAAUAAUCUUUCAAUCUGGUCUUUACAACAAGGCUCAUGUGAAUUAUUAUAGCCAUAAAUAUCUUGAGCUCAGACACAGAAACAGCUUUCCACAUUUCUAAAUGACUCCUAGGAUUCAAAGGACCCUUUUUUCUUUCUCUGUCUAUGGUUGCCCUAGCAUAGCGGUUAGUCUCAAGUUUCAGAUUACCAAAAAAAUCCUCAUCAAUAAAUUUUUUGAAUAUCUGGUAAGGAGAGUUGGGUUCUGGAAAUAACUCGGCCCUUGGUCCAGGUUGGGCAGUAAACAGAGGUCUGGGUAUCGUGGAUGUAGUAGUUUCAAUCCAGUCAUCACUUACCAGAGGAGAUAUUGUUGUUGCAGGAGCCUCUUCAUCUCUUGGUCCCUCAAAAUAUAUUUCUGUUGAAUCCGAAUCAAUAUCUUCAUCAGAGUUAGCAUGGAGUGUGAUAUCUGGAUCCUCAAAAGAAUCAUCUAAUUCUGAUCCAGAAUCAAAAAGAUGGGGGUCAUAAAUCUCCCACUCUGGAGAUGGGCAAGAGGAGAUAACUUUGGAUGUACUGGGCUGAUCAGGAUUCAUUUUUAUCCAAAAAUGUCUAUUUAAAAUAUUAGAAACUUCAAAUAAAAAUUUUAAGCAAAAAAAAAAACGUGACAAGAAGAAGCGCGCAAAGUACAAUUAGCAAAUGACGGCAGAUUAAAAAUAGGUCAGUAGAGGUUGGGAGAGGAGGAAACUCAAUUUAAUUGGUCAGCCAUCCACCCUAUCAUGUGGCAAAGUGGUGAACGACCUUGAGGCAUGUUUAAACUUGCAGGAGGGCAAGUGGCCACGGGACGUAGCGCGCGCUAUGAUUUUAUACCGAUUUUUAAGAAAGUAGGACGUUAAUAUACGUCCUGCGGGCACUGUGCCAUUUUCGCGAGGACGUUAAUUGACGGAUAGGAAUUGGAAAGAUAAAAUAACGCAAACACUAAGCAUAAAAUAUUUCUUUAACACUUGAAAUUAGAAUUAAAAUAAGGUGCACACUAAAGCAUAAAAUAUUUCUUUACUCGUGAAAUUGCAAAGUUAAAUUAACGUAUACACUAAAGCGUAAAAUAUUUCUUUAACACGUGAAAUUGAAAAGGUUAAAAUAGCGCAUACACUAAAGCAUAAAAUAUUUCUUUAGCACGUGGAAUUGAAAGGUUAAAAUAAGGCAUACACUAAAGCAUAAAAUAUUUCUUUAACACUUGAAAUUAGAAUUAGGAUAAGGUACACACUAAAGCAUUAAAUAUUUCUUUAACAUGUGAAAUUGGAAAGAUAAGAUAACGCAUACACUAAGCAUAAAAUAUUUCUUUAACACUUGAAAUUAGAAUUAAAAUAAGGUGCACACUAAAGCAUAAAAUAUUUCUUUAGCACGUGAAAUAAAAAAGGCUAAAAUAACGCAUAUACUAAAGCAUAAAUAUUUCUUUAACACUUGAAAUUAGAAUUAAAAUAAGGUACACACUAAAGUAUUAGAUAUUUCUUCAACACGUGAAAUUGAAAAGCUAAAAUAACGCAUAUACUAAAACAUAAAUAUUUCUUUAACACUUGAAAUUAGAAUUAAAAUAAGGUACACACUAAAGCAUUAAAUAUUGCUUUAACACGUGAAAUUGAAAAGCUAAAAUAACGCAUAUACUGUUAGGUUAUUCAGUGAUUGAAUAUAUCAUCAUCACAAGUUAAUGUUUUGGUUCAUGUAGGAUAUGUAAAAUAACAUAUUACAAUAGUGGCCAUUCAAUAAAGUUACGUCUUCAUGAUAGGUUAGUGAUUCGUUGUUUUGUACAAGACACUAACGAAUCAAACAUGGUGUCAGAAAAGUGAUUUGAAAACAAACGAAAAAAAAUAUCACGGUAAGUUCAAUUUUACGUUAAGACUAAUAAAAUAAUAAAUAAGCCUUAUCGUAUAUUAAAUAGACAAAAAAAUAUGUAUUUACAAAUACCGCUGUGUGGAAUGGUGGAGAUCCAUUAUUCCGGACGCAGCCCAGACAGCUCAAGUGUCGACUGUAAACACGGCGGGGCCAGCCGCCAACAUAAACAUCAGAACACGGCUUGGUUUUGCUACCCACCAGUCGCGUGUUUUCCUCUGUCCUCUUAAUAUGUAUUAAAUAAAGUUAGUUAGAAGGGGAUUUUUACCCCCUCCUUUCUGCUAUUUAGUGAUCUUAUUUAAAUCCUUGCAACAGCCCACAAAGAAUCAUCACAGCGAAUUCUUCUACCGAAUUUCGCUCAGUGUUUUGUGAACCGACUACCCUACAUUUCUACACAAAGU